UACGUAGGGUGCAAGCGUUAAUCGGAAUUACUGGGCGUAAAGCGUGCGCAGGCGGUUCUAUAAGACAGAUGUGAAAUCCCCGGGCUCAACCUGGGAACUGCAUUUGUGACUGCAUGGCUAGAGUGUGGUAGAGGGAGAUGGAAUUCCGCAUGUAGCAGUGAAAUGCGUAGAUAUGCGGAGGAACACCAAUGGCGAAGGCAAUCUCCUGGACCUGCACUGACGCUCAUGCACGAAAGCGUGGGGAGCAAACAGG
rnacentral:rRNA from 1 species